AUGAGCAGCGAGCAUGAUGAAAUCAGGCAGCAAGUCGUUGAGCUUGAAGAUGGAGACGAAUCCAGCAACGCUGCUCCGGAUGAGGACUAUUCCAUCACAAAUGCACGUGGAUCUAUUCCGAAGACCGAAUUCAAAUGGAAUGAAAAAUCCGUCAGAGUCCUCUUAAUGUUGAGAUUUCAACGGGAUGAAGAGUUCAACCGACCGUCUUGUAGAAAAAUUAAGUUAUGGGAACAAGUUGCUAAAGAAAUGCAAAAAAAUGGAUUCAUUGUCAAUGGUCAUUCUUGUGAUAGUAAAUAUAGAAACCUAUUAGCCACUUACCGAAAGAAUAAAAUCAAGCAGCAGACAAGUGAUGAGUCCGUCGUCAUUUCAUGGGAGUUCUUUGAAUUCAUGGACGAACAUCUGGGCCCCAAAUUUGAUGAAACGUCUGAAUCUUUUGAGUAUGCCAUUCAAGCUACUCCCUCAGCAGUCGAAUCUGACUAUGAAGGAAGAUAUUUUUUAACUUCAGCAACGCCAUCUAAAAAACCGCGACUCAACAGUGUGCAAUACACCUCAGUGGAAGACGAAAGGAAGAUGUCUAUUCAAGAGUAUUUCUUUGAAAAGCUCCAGUUUGACAAGACUUGUUACAAGGAUGACCAGAGAAGAAAAAAUCGGAGAAUUGAACUUCAGGAGAGAAAAAUCAAGAUUGCAGAGAAACAACUUGAGUUGGAGAUAAAGAAAGUUGAAGCUUUAACAGCUCUAGCAAGUGCUAUUUCCAAUCUAAAGACUAUCGUUCCUUAAGUAGUUCCUUUCUUUUUGCUUAUUGUAUCUUGGUUUAUUUUUCUUUUUUCCCUUAUUUUUAUUUUUUAUUUUAUUUUUUUUUUUUAUGUAAAACUUUCUCUUCUCUUGCAAAAAUGUUGUUCUUUUAUACGUAAAUAUUUGAAGGUUUAAAAGAUGGGAAAGAAAAUCAAAUAUCAUUAACAAGCACGUAAAUAUCAAGAAAAUUGCUUGUAGAGAUCUCUUAAAAUUUGAUGUUGAAUGGCUCAUUGUUCACGCCGAAAACUGGCGGUAGGAGAAAUGGAAGAAUCCAUAUUAUUUUCAACGGUCAUACCCCGCUAUGAGGACAAGUUUUGAUGGGCCUAUUACCUAUAUGUGGUUUGUAAGUUAUGUCUGUUAGUACUAAUUUUUUCCUCUGCUUUGUCAACAUCCGAAGUCAUGUCUUGAAUAUGUAUAAAUAUAUAUGUAAAUACCGAAAUUCAUGUCUUGAAUAUGUAUUAAUAUAUGUCUGAAGAAUGCUAAUUCUUGAUAGUGGAGCGCUCAGGGGAAAUAUUUUAGAGCCCAGCCGUCGCGCCCCUACUUAAUGAAGUGCUAUACAUCAAAAGGGGCGUAAGGGUCGGGGGUAGCGAUCGAACACGGGGGAGAGCGCAGGUGGAAUCAUGAAAUGGCAACAUAACAGCGCCGCUCGCAAAAUACUGGUGAUAUUGGUUAGAGUGCGUUUUUCAAGCUAUAAUAAGUGCCGGCGAAAGAAAAAAACACGAAUUUUAGCUUAGAUUUCUUCAAUUUUUCUCCAAAAAAUGUUCCAUUACAAGAAUAUCGAGGAACAAUAUGAGGUCUGUUCAAUAAGAAACCGGAUUUUGGUGAUAACUAGCCCACAAUGCGCUCGAAUUAGGUUUUCCUUGACUUUCCUGACAGCUGAAAAUAUACUUAAGAACGCUACAUUCACAUAUUUGAAAAAUCUUGAUUACCUAGUUGGUACGUUGCUUGAAGUAAUGCAACCUCAUGGGUGUUCUGCGAUUUUUAUGUCUGACCGAACUUGUCUCUCUUUUUCGGUCUUGCACUUCCUUUUUCAACCCACAAGGAUGAUUGGAGUUUCGUCUCCACAUCGCAGCGAUUACGUAGCAUGGUGUCAACGAUCAUGGUGUCAACAAACAGUUUUUCUAAGUUUUUGUUGACACCAUGAUCAUCCAAAAAUAAAAAAUUCUGACUCUCAUGAAAAAUGAUCACGGUGUAAACGAUCAUGACGUCAACGAAACUUAAAACUUGCCUCAAUUACAUCUUUCAAAUUUCAAGUCUUGUUUUUCUUGUGUUAUUUACUCUAACCUAAUCUAACCUAACCUAACCCAACUUCAGUUACAAGACCUAGCCCACUUUCACAGAGCUUAACUUUCCCCGACAACUUUAGCUUUACCUACUUAAUCUAACCAAACAUGUCCUGACCAAAACUAACCUAAUCCAACUAUACGUGACCCAGACCUCUCCUGUUCACUCAAUUUUUUAAUUUUACUCAUAAGGAAGAUAUUUUUCUUUUUGUUGACACCAUGCUCAGGACCCAUUUUUGCGUUUUACUGCCUGAGCACGACGUCAACAAUCGUUGACUUUAUGAUCAGAUUUUUGGUUUGUUGACACCAUGAUCGUUGCCACCAUGCAACGUUACCAUCGCAGCCAUCCUCUCAAGUUCUGUCACCGAAAAUUAUCCUAUCUAAAAAUGUAGGAUCAUUGUUAGAACGUUCAAGAAGCAUUAUUACUCUAUAUAAAGCUGCUGUUCCCACUCACUAUACCCCCCUAGAAAAAAUUGGCCGAAGCGAUUUCCUUUAAAAUUGGUACACGCUUAGCUAUUGUAAUUAUACUAGCUAUACACUCUCGAGUGUAAUGCUAGCAUUACACUGUCAUUAUACUAAUUAAUACACUCAGGAUUACUAUCUUCACACUUCACCACUUAAUUAUAAGCGCAUUAGCUUUAUGCUAGCCAGCACAUCCCUAAAUAACAAUGCGCUGCCGCCCUUUAGAGGACGGACCCUCGGAGGUGGCGCUGGGGCCGAGGAGAGAGGGCGGGGACGCCUUACGCCCUUGUUCCGCGGUGAGACUUUCGCUGUGUUCAUUCUUGUUAACGGUACCAUGGCAGUCAUGGCACCUAUUGCCGAGAUAAUCUCGGGUAAGUAUGCCCAAGUAUAUUGAUAUGAGGCUGUGGAAAGGAGAUCGCAACUUUUAACUGCUUCUAACUUAUCAAAUAUAAAAGAAAAGUGAAAUCUCUAGAAGUAAAUCAUAAACACCUUAACAAAACCACAAAAACCAUUCAUCCGAGGCAGGCUCGGGCCCAGAGAAAACGGGAAUCGAACAUUGAGGAGCACGGCGCCAUCUGGUGGCCGUGACUGGUAAACACUCGUCACACAGUUAUACACUCAUUAGUGUAAACCAGUUAUACACUCAGCAGUAUAAAGCUGAAAAAAUUCUUGUUUCCGUAUCGAUGUCAUUUGAUGUCAAUUGUAUACUCAAGAAAUAAUGCAAUGAUCAUUCGUACAUUACAGAGUGCUAUUAUAAUUUAGAUGAGGAUUAAAGUUAAGUCCUAUAAUGAGAUAAAUUUCGUGUUUUAUUGCCAUGUUUGUGAACGCUGAUGUUUUCUAAAUACAUGGAAUUUUAAAUUGUUAAUUGUUCUGUUCACAAUGCCUUUUUUCCAAUGAGAAAAUAUAUAAAACAUAAAACACUUCUUCACUUCAUAUUUUUGCUAACAAUUAUAUUUAAAAGAAAAUGGUAGAGUGUUGGUCUCACUGACAGUUUCUUUAAUUUGAGGAUUACAUACAUUCUUGCGAAGAAAUCAUUUUCUUAACAUCCUUGUACAAUGAGCCUUUGCUUUUUUAGUUUUAUUUUAUGCCCAUUUUUUUAACGCUUCAGCAUUCUCCUUAGCAGUAACAGAAAAAUAAAAAAGUAAUUUUAGUGAAAGCACUAAUUUUUCCUGAAAUUUCAGGAUGAACUUGAAUUUACAGGUGUCAUUGCAAGAUUUGAAAAAUACCAACCUAUAUAGGUACCUACUUGACUUCCUCAAUAAAUCUAAUCAGUGUCAUUAUCAUUGACUUUCUCAAUAAUUCUGGGAAAUUAUUAUUAAUUUUCCAUCUUCCUGUACAUAUAUACUUCAUUUCCUUUCGUAUAGUUUGGAAAAUCGCAUUUGGCAACCGAUAAGACAUACUUAGUCCAUAUGGAUGAGCUUAUACUCUAUAGUCCGUUGACUACGACCCAAAAAUGGCAAAAACCCUGCAAAUUUUUGAUUGGAAUAUGCCACUUUCAGGGCUCAUUGGUGGUACCCUCAGGAGUAUAAUUCUGGAAGGAGCAACACUCUGAGACCCGCGACUGGAGAUUGCGACCGUUAAAGUCCGCCAUUUUGGUUUUUUUCAAAGCGCUGUCCUUCGGUUGCUAUUGAUCCGAUUUUGAUCCACUUUUUUUUAAUGAAAGGUAAUCUCCAGGAAAACAAUUUUAUUUCUCAAUAAUUUUCCCGUUAGGCCUAAAUUUUUUUUCUAAAUUGGGAAAAACUAAAAUUUUUCAAUUUUUUGGAAAUUUCAAGGUCAAAUAACUUUUCGACGGGCUAUAAAAUUGAUAUUUUGCCCCUUCGGAUGGAUUCGUAGAAUUGCCUGACCUUUAAUUUGAUACCAAAACGAUUUUUGUGCGAUAAUAAAUAAGCGCGUGAGAGCAAUGUAAGUGUUGCGCACUUCGCGCCGUGGGACCCGUUUCGGCGCUCUAGACGGUCGACGCUACCCUUCAAUGCGCUGUAUCUCGGCUGCUGUGCAAUCAAUUUUAAUCAGUUUUUUUUAUAAGCAGUUAUACUCAUGGAAAACUAGCUCCUUAAACAAC
rnacentral:lncRNA from 1 species